AAAUUGAAGAGUUUGAUCAUGGCUCAGAUUGAACGCUGGCGGCAGGCCUAACACAUGCAAGUCGAACGGUAACAGGAAGCAGCUUGCUGCUUUGCUGACGAGUGGCGGACGGGUGAGUAAUGUCUGGGAAACUGCCUGAUGGAGGGGGAUAACUACUGGAAACGGUGGCUAAUACCGCAUAAUGUCGCAAGACCAAAGAGGGGGACCUUCGGGCCUCUUGCCAUCAGAUGUGCCCAGAUGGGAUUAGCUUGUUGGUGAGGUAACGGCU
rnacentral:rRNA from 2 species